GAUGAACGCUGACAGAAUGCUUAACACAUGCAAGUCAACUGUGGCGGACGGGUGUGUAACGCGUAAAGAACUUGCUUCACAGUUAGGGACAACCUUUGGAAACGAAUGCUAAUACCUGAUACUGUGAGAGAGCUUUGCGUCCCAUUAGCUAGUCGGAGAGGUAACGGUUCACCAAGGCGCUGAUGGGCAGCCGGCCUGAGAGGGUGAUCGGCCCCAAGGGGACUGAGAAGCGGCCGUUACUCAUCCGGGAAGCAGCAGUGAAGAAUAUUGGACGAAGGACCAAAGUCUGAUCCAGCAAUUCGGUGUGCACGAUAAAGUUUUCGGAAUGAAAAGUGCUUUCAGUAGAGAGGCGGUCCCAGCCUAAGAAGUAACGGCUAAAUACGUGCCAGCAGCCGCGGUAAUAC
rnacentral:rRNA from 1 species